AUCAUUGUCUGGAACUAGAGGCUGGAGAUGGGUAGCAGGUUUUCCCUGUAAGAGGCAGGAUCUGGAUUGGUCUGGACACACCGCCUUUGUUCCUGGGUGCCAGGCUCUAACCUCAGUUUCCGGAGAGAAAGAAAAGAAGGCAGAGGGUAUGAGCUCAUCAUGCCUGAAGUUGUGACUUUUUAGAUUAUCAACCUUUUACUUUGGAUGGUCUAUCAAGAUAAAACAAAAAACAGAAAGCAAACACAGAUCCCCAAUCAAGAAAUGACAAUGGUCGGACGACUGUCUGUGGGUUUGACUGAGGCUGCAGUCCUCCCACUGAUUUGUACAGCAUUCUUACAAACAUGUGACCCAAAAUAGGCACGUCGCAGGCAGGCGUGGUGUCGUGACUGCACGCGAGCUCGAGUGAUGUGUGUCACUUCUGAGCUGACGUGGCAGGAGGCAGCCACGUCCUCUCCGUGAUCCCUUUCCCCAUCUGCUGUCUGAGGAGAGAAAGCUACACGGAUGCCAAGCUGGGAAAACUCCUGUCGGUGAAUGCAGUGUCCUUUCCAGAUUCAAUAUUAUGCAAACUGCAUAUCGGCAAAUGGAGUAAACAAAUAUGUCCGUGAAGCUGCUGCCGUCUCUUUCCUUCUGAACAUGUGGUUGGACCCUGUGAGUCUGGAAUGAGGGGACAGUGUGAUGCUCAGAAGCAGGAGAUUCCUGCUAGGUAGAUCAAGGUCAAGUAGGAAGCUGCCAUUGGCUGGGGUUUGGGGCACAGCCUGUGACAGGUGUCUGUGACGCUCCAUGACCCAAGCAAACUUGUGCCCACCCUCAACCCCACCCUCUCCCGUCACCCUGUCCCCCAGCAGUGAGGCUCUCAGCCAUGGAACAAGCAUGCUCACUUUUAAUUUUUCUGACUAAUCUCCCCUGACUGGCAGCUGUGAGCAGGAGACUAAAACAUGUUGAGGCUUUCUGGAGGAAGAACUUGGACAAUUCCCUUUUCCACCAUGGACCUUAGUUUCCAGGCAUGUGGAGUGCUGACAUGGGUAUGAUGGGUGAAAAGCUGACUUCAGCUCUGCUAUUCUAAGUGUAUGAUGCUUCUAUGCUAGUCUCACACCCACCUCCAACACGUGCCCAUUGGAAUAGAGCUGUGGGAUUGAGGACCUUUUAACAUUCCCCUUCUAAGCAGAUGAGAAAACAAAGAUUUAGGGAUAUUAGACUGUUUUGUUGAAAGGUGGGCAACUGAUAAAUGAACAGACUAUUGUUUAGACCCGGUAUCAUGUGGUUUAAAAUCUCAUGCACUCUUUUUUUUAUAAAUGGUAUUGUGCUUUCUCAAACAGUCCUAUAUUCAGAAAGCAAUAAACAAACAAACAAACAAACAAAACAAAGAGCAAGGACAUCCAGAAGGAUCAAAGCCUGAAAUUGCGGGAUACUGAUCACGUGCUUCGACUUGGCGGGCCUGGGCUGGGGGACCUGAUCAGCCCCUGGGGAGGGUGGUGGGCACGGGC